ACUAGAACUAGAGGUAGACUGCGUUUAGACUAGUAGUGCUCUGUAGACGUUUAGACUAGAACUAGAGGUAGACCGCGUUUAGACUAGUAGUGCUCUGUAGACGUUUAGACUAGAACUAGAGGUAGACCGCGUUUAGACUAGUAGUGCUCUGUAGACGUUUAGACUAGAACUAGAGGUAGACCGCGUUUAGACUAGUAGUGCUCUGUAGACGUUUAGACUAGAACUAGAGGUAGACCGCGUUUAGACUAGUAGUGCUCUGUAGACGUUUAGACUAGAACUAGAGGUAGACCGCGUUUAGACUAGUAGUGCUCUGUAGACGUUUAGACUAGAACUAGAGGUAGACCGCGUUUAGACUAGUAGUGCUCUGUAGACGUUUAGACUAGAACUAGAGGUAGACCGCGUUUAGACUAGUAGUGCUCUGUAGACGUUUAGACUAGAACUAGAGGUAGACCGCGUUUAGACUAGUAGUGCUCUGUAGACGUUUAGACUAGAACUAGAGGUAGACCGCGUUUAGACUAGAACUAGAGGUAGACUGCGUUUAGACUAGUAGUGCUCUGUAGACGUUUAGACUAGAACUAGAGGUAGACCGCGUUUAGACUAGUAGUGCUCUGUAGACGUUUAGACUAGAACUAGAGGUAGACCGCGUUUAGACUAGUAGUGCUCUGUAGACGUUUAGACUAGAACUAGAGGUAGACCGCGUUUAGACUAGUAGUGCUCUGUAGACGUUUAGACUAGAACUAGAGGUAGACCGCGUUUAGACUAGUAGUGCUCUGUAGACGUUUAGACUAGAACUAGAGGUAGACCGCGUUUAGACUAGUAGUGCUCUGUAGACGUUUAGACUAGAACUAGAGGUAGACCGCGUUUAGACUAGUAGUGCUCUGUAGACGUUUAGACUAGAACUAGAGGUAGACCGCGU